rnacentral:misc_RNA from 1 species
AGUAAACUGUCCUUCAUAGUACCUAUACACAGUUAAAUUAUAAACCCCUCUUUAAAAAUUAGAAAAAAUUAGAACCGUCACAGCAUGACCAAAGUUAGCACAGUAAAUACAAUCUCUCUCUCCUGUACAGUGUAGCACUUAUUAUGUUGAUUUGUCACGUGUUGCACUCUUUGGAAGUCUCUUCACAGAACAAAUAGUUGCAAUUAUAUCCUCAAACUGAUAAAAUCAUUUUUUGCAUGGGUUUAAGGAUAUAAUAGUGUGCAUUUUUUAAUAUUCUCCUUUUUUCUCUAGGAAUCAAAGCAUGCUACAUUAUAUCAAUUUCUCCAUUAUGUAAUCAGUUAUUUUCCACUAUUUUCGUUGGUCUAAUACUCUAAGUGAAUGUUGACUCAGUCUUCUAAUAUUAUUUCAAUUAAUAAUGUCAGCCUUAAUCUUUAGCCUCAGCUUCAUGAAUCAUCACUCAUCAGUCAAGAAUGUGCCUCUUGAUUACAAAGAUAAUGCUCAGUUUUAAUGCAAGUAAAAUAUCUUUCAACAAUGGUUACAUACUCGUGUGGAAUUGCGAGUUUCUGAAACCUGGCCAAGAUUUAGAGCAAAAUAAACAUCUCAAUACAAUACCAACCACAGGCCCUAUUUCUAGAGGAACCAAUUGCUCCACAUUCCAACAUUGGCAUAAUGCCUUCAUAGAACAUUAAGUUUUGGGGCGCUUGCAUUGCAUCUGCCAUAAUCAUCUAGAUCCAACUAAUCUUCUGUGCAUUUAAUAGCCCAUGUACCUAAACAGGAGCAAUCUUCAGGCUAUAAAGUUGACACAAUUGGACCAUUAUUUGAAAGUCGAGCAUCCUUAUUUGGUUUAACUGUACAAUAUGUCAAGUACAAUAAUGGUCCACACUCAACAACCUAAGCUUUUAGAGGAAACUUCAUGUUUAACAUAAUGAACCAAGAAAAAUAACCGAAAAAUAUAUUCAUUGUUUGUUGAAUUCAAUCACAUUUCUUCCAUCGCCUCUUUUUACAAAGAAUUAGUCUUCCCAUAAAUACCUUAACAUCCUAACAAGGUCCGUUUCGACAUCUAGUUUACUGACGAGGUUAGAAGUAAGUCAAAGAUGCACAUACCUUGUUAAAAGUUCCAUUGCG